UCCAGCCGUGCGGCCAGUUCAUCCUCCGCUGGGGCUUCAUCCCCACCGUGCUGUACCUGGGAUUCAAGCGUGGAGCCGAUCCUGGGAUGCCUGAACCCACGGUGCUCAGUUUGCUUUGGGGAUGAAGACGCUCCUGACGGAAGCUCCAGACCUAUUCACAAACCUGAUGAAGACGCAGACGCUCGCGUUUCGAGCCCUUCAUCUCACGGGACGCUGUACCAGGAUGUAAAUACUUCACCCAUCGUCUUGUGUUAUUUUUAAGACUGAUUGCAUUGAGAAAACACACAAAAUGUAACUGAGCCUUCUUUUUUUUUUUUUAUUGAAUGGAAUCAGAUGAUUGUAAACAAAUCAGUUUUUCAGUUUCAAAUAAACGAAAACCAGUUCAUCA